rnacentral:rRNA from 1 species
UACGUAGGGCGCAAGCGUUGUCCGGAAUUAUUGGGCGUAAAGAGCUCGUAGGCGGUUUGGUGAGUCGGGUGUGAAAUCUCCACGCUCAACGUGGAGGAGCCACCCGAUACUGCCAUGACUGGAGUCCGGUGGGGAGUGUGGAAUUCCCGGUGUAGCGGUGAAAUGCGCAGAUAUCGGGAGGAACACCAGUAGCGAAGGCGACGCUCUGGGCCGGUACUGACGCUGAGGAGCGAAAGCGUGGGGAGCAAACAGG